rnacentral:lncRNA from 1 species
AUACGCACCAGAAGCCAUCUCUACUGAUCGGCUUCUUCGAAAAACCGGAGUUACUAUUCACUUAAGUGAAAACUAAAGAUCGCAUAACUUCUCCAUCUUAACUCAUUUUCUCCUAAAACUUGACGAAUAUUUAUGUAAUUAAAUUACACACAAAAACAUUAUGAACACAGAGUUUAUCUAUACAGCAAAAAUCUCAGUCCUUACAGAACUCCCCCAAU